GGAAAAAGUAGUACUGUUGAAACACCAUUUGUGCAAGGACCUUCAGGCAAGGUCACUGUUGAGCUGGAUUUUGAAGUAAGUUUAGUCCCCUUCUAUAUCUCCUUCUAUAUGAAAUCACAACUAGUUUCUGACAUGGAAAACUCAGAAAUCAGAAGCCACAGGAACACGAAUUUUGUUGUACCGGUUGGUCUCAGUUCAGGGCAUCCUGCUCCAUUAGGUAUUUCCUUUCAGCCAGCUGGAUACGUGAAUUUUGCUCUCUACUCACGCAGUGCAAAAGGUGUAGUUUUGUGCUUGUAUGAUGACAUAUCAGUUGAAAAACCUUCUUUAGAAAUUGAUCUAGAUCCUUAUAUUAAUCAAUCAGGUGAUAUUUGGCAUGCUGCUUUAGAUUGUUCUUUGCCAUUUAAGACUUAUGGUUAUAGAUUUAAGGCGGCUACUUCUGGGAAGGGAGAGCUGGUUCUUUUGGACCCAUAUG
rnacentral:misc_RNA from 1 species